UUCCCCGCCCUCAGGCCCAGAGCAUCUCCACCUCCAACCAUCGAAACUCAGCCAGGCGCAGGGCUUGUAGAUUUAUUGAACGGCCUCCACCGAAAGGGCCCAGGAGCCCGAGGGGCAAGGGGAGAGGGAGAGAAGCAGAGUAUAGGGAGAGAGCACCCGAGGGCGGUGGGGGGGGGGGGGAUGGGAGAACAGGUGCGGGGAGGGCUCUGCGCAAGGUGUGUCCAGGCCCAGGCUAGUUCUGGCCCUGCCUCCAAGGAGUUAGAAGGCCUUCAGGCUCCAAAGGUUAGAGAAGCCGUCUGCAGAUGAGCCUGCGCGCCCCCCUCCUCACCCCCCGAGUGCUCAACCAGCUCACCCUGAUGGGACAGGAGCCAGAAUAACUCAGCUGAAACUACGCAUUCCGGACGCCAGAGGCCGUGGGCUCGCUUCCCAGUCAGGGCACUUAGCAGGUAGUGGGCUCAGUCCUCGAGGGUGGUGGACAACUGCCCUCCCUCCCUUCCUCCCUCCCUCCCUCCCUCUCCCUCUCGAAGAACGUCCCUGGGUGAGAAUUAAAAAGAAGACACAAAUACAAUAGCGAUGCCCUGUGCUGACAGCACCCCAGGAGGGCGGGCUGAAGGGCUUUCCCAGGAGGGACCCGCCAGCCACAGGCAGCACCCUCGCCAGCUGUCGGGCCUCACCAGGGGGCAGGGAAGGACAGGCCGGAGGGGAGGCGGCGCGGCCCGAGAGAAAAGCCCUCGCAGCACGAGGGGCAGCAUUCGUGAGGACGAGCUGUCCCCGGCCCCAGACACAGCAUCUGCCGUCUGAACCCGAGGUUCCGAAGAGGCCCACCGGGCGCGCCUGGGACAGAGCCCGCCGGCCGUGCUGGGACGUCCUGGGGAGGCCCCGGGCCCACAGGCCGCCCCCUCAGCGCGCAUCCUGAGCGCGGCCCGAGCCUCACCGCCGUGGCACCGCUGCUCCCCCCGCGCCGCAGCCCACGCCUGCCACACAGGCCGCCAGGCAGUGCCUGCCCUGGCGCCCUCCACGGCCGCAGGCCCUCCGCUGAGAAGCGGCCCCUGGGGCAGGGACGGCGGCAGAGGCCCGGGAGGCUCCCUCACGAGGCCGGGCGGAGGGAAGGUCAGGAAGAGGCUGGCGUCGCCCGGUGACUCCCUCUGUUAAGUUUUUAUUGGUUUCAGAGCAGAAGGGAGAGGGAGAGAGAGACAUCAGUGAUGAGAGGAUCAUUGAUGGGCUGCCUCCUCUCUGGGGAUCGAGCCCACAACCCAGGCCUAUUCCCUGACCGGAAUCAAACCCGGGACCUUCACUCUGCAGGCCGACGCUCUGUCCACUGAGCCACACUAGCCAGGCCAGUGACUGUUCUUGAGGAACUCGUCCUGCUAAUGCCUGGUGCCGG